ACUCCAGUUCCAGAGGAUCUGACACCUGCACAUUUACGUAGGCAAAACACCAACACAAUUGGUGAAACCAAGCACGUCAAAGCUUUUCUGGAUGCCAUCGAAGGUGUUGCCGAAAGGCGGCCUAUGGUUGAGAUAAACUUUGAGGAAAUCCGCUCGGAGCUGAACACAGCGGAUACCAUGCACACCUGUUCCCUCAAGGUCAAGAAACAGAAUGUAAGUGUCAGAAUGUGGGAGGAGUCCCAAAAGAGUCACCAGACAGACAGAGAGCCGUCACAGGGAGCGUAUGGCCCUGCUGACACUGAUGUUACCUUCUGUCAGAGGACAAAAUUCUGUCGUUUUAGCACAUGCUAAGCCCUGGAUCCAGUCAAAAUAAAACAAUCGUUUAAAGACUUCCUUUUAAUAU